AGGAAGCUCACAAACAGGGCAUGAGUGCUAUCGCCCUCUCCUAGCAACUGGUAUUCAGAGGCCUACUGCCUCUGAACUUCAAGGCUCCAUUCUUAGCAUGACUAAAUGCUCACUCCAGAGCUCUGCUGGAUCAGAGCAAAGAUCCACCUUGUCUAGCAUCCUGGUUAACAGCUGUUAAUAACCUAUCCUCCAUGAUGACUCUGUAUAAUCCCUUUUAAAAUAAGUCCAUGCUAGUGGCCAUGAGCACAUUGCACGGCCGUGAAUUCCACAAGGUGGUUUUGCAUUUGGCGAAGAAGUCCCUUCCUUUGCAGGAAGUUCCCUCUCAGUGAAUGGCCAUUUGUAUUCACCCUGUGUUGCCACUCUCCUGCAUGGAUCUCGCUCAUCGUCAGACCCAUUGUAUAAGAAGAGCUGGUCGGUGGGCACCAGCCUUCCACAUCGCUGAGCUUGAUCUGGGCCCCGGCCAUGAUUGGCAUGUGGCAGUGGCAUCUUCACUCUAGGGAAUAUAGACAAUGCGCCACACUAAAAGCAAGGGGAAAUUAGCUGCCACUUUUGCUGGGAAUGACAUAUUGACAAAGUACUUAGCCCAUGUUAUCCACUUCGGCAUUCAAUGGCACACGCAGACGGAGACAGCGGCAGUAUCCUCUCUCCGGCUGCAAGAGCCCACAAUUGGAGUCACUUCAAGCCCGCAGCUCUCCGUCAGAAAGCAUCGGAGAAAAGCAGCACGAAGUACACACAAUUCUAAAGAUUAUCCAGCUGGACAAAGACAGCCCUUACCAGUGGCAUUUGAAAACAAAACCAUCUGGAGAGCCAUGCACUAUAGCACUGAAGAGAGUGAAAAGAACUAUAGAUAGAUAGAUCUCAAAGAAAUGUGUCAAUACAUGUUCCUUAUUCCAGUCACUGAAAAUUCAAAAUGUCUCUUAACUGUGUUUUGUUUUGUUUUGAAUUUUAAGAUUUCAGUUCAAAGGCACAUGGCUCAGAGCUUUUAGUAUCAACAUUAAAUUAACUCACAACAGCAAAUGCUGCAAAUUUUGAAAAGAGGAAAGCAUUAAGU